GUUAUUCACAUCAAUUGCGGUAACAGCGAGGGCUUUUAAAUAAUUUGUGUAUUUUCAGAAACCCUCGGGAGCCAUGACACGUGUAGCGAAUAUCUUAAGCGAAAGUAAACUGAAGGAAAUCCUUUGUUCAUUCAAAGUUCAACAUAUUCAAAAGAAAGCCCGUGCAUCCAACAUGAAUAAGGACUCAUGACUUGUCAACUUGUGCCAAAGGACAAUUACGACUUAUUUUGACGAAACCUGAGGUGGAUGAACUAUCUGUAUGACGACGAAGCCUGCGCUGUGGAUCUGAAGCCCUCGAGUGAAUAUUAGCUGAAACAAACGUUUUAUUUUUUAUAACGAGCCUCAUUACCUGGAAGAUCGAGGUAAACAAAUUAAAGCAGCGGCGAGUUGAGUGAGUUGCGUUGCGUACCUACGAAAUUGGUAGCGCAGCAUUCCUUCUCAACCGUAAAUUUUAAUUAAAAACAUACCUAGAUACAACAUGGCCUAAACUCGGAAAUGGUCCAUCGAUAGUAAAUAUUUCAUCCGAAUCAAAAGCCUAUUUCAAAAGGACCAUCAUGGGCGUGAGUGGGUAGCAAGGUUCGAAAUGACGGACAAUCUGUUGACUGCUCGAGGACGACACCCACGAAAAAUGAGGUUCAUUUUGGCCCGGAUAUUAAGUAUGAAGCUCCAUGGACAACAAAGCAAUACGAACGCCUACCAAUAAGUACCUACGCAAUUUGGAUGGAUAUUUGGUAGACAGUUGACGUCAAUAAUAUAUUGUUAACCAAGAGCUGAAGCAAUACCUUGGUAUUUUGACGCUCGAACGAAAAUAGAAAUAUUAUCGGUUGAAACUCGGAAAUGAACUUGGUAACCCUUUUUAGCUACUAUUUAAUUAUAAAAGAACGAAGAUUGUAUGUAUUUAAGUAUAACAUUUUAUGUAUACCUAUGCGUUAUCUUAGCAAGUCUUUUGAUACUGAAAUAUAAUUUGAUCAACGUGUAAUUAAAAUUUGCAAUAAGUAGGUCGAGAAAAGCCCUUAGAUUUGUUGUGCAUCAGUAUUUUUUUAUUUGUCACUUAAUUACGUUUUUAUAUAAUGUAUUUGUACGUAGCUACUGGAAUUUAACUGCAUUGUAUGGAAUGGAACCCCCACGAAAAAAAUACAUUAUUUUUCUUGAAGUACAAGGGCAGUUAAAUAAAGAUCUCCACUGGAAAACACAUGGGUAUUAUUCCUACAUGUAUCCCACGCCGUUUGAGUUGUAUCAUUUUCAAAAAAGUAUUAUUGUAUGUAAGAAUGAGGUUACAUUGCAGGUCGAAUAUACAAUUACAUAUUCAGUUACACUUAGACUUUACCUUUUCAGGCGUACCUACUCGUACAUACCUACAUUACAACAUAAAUAUAUAUUUA